GAUUGCGGUGACGAUUUGCAAAUUUCAAGCUCAACAGACCAAUCGCAGGUUUUCUCUCAGGAGUUGAUUUGUAUGCCGAUUAUCCCGCUGAACCAAGCCAUC
rfam:Triticum aestivum genome assembly, contig: Triticum_aestivum_CS42_TGACv1_scaffold_001101_1AL